UAAGUCUUCCAAAACCCUCUCAAAAUAAUUCUUAUUUCUUUGAAAAGAACUUCAAGCUCACUCUCAAAUUCUAACCUUCAAUCUUCAAAUGAAAUCCUAUUUUGCCCUAGGCCGUCGUUUUAGUGGCCAGAGGUCUGAUUUCGACCCUGUUUCACAAACGGUCGACCCCCGGGUAUCAAUCUAUCCUAUCCUAAGGAUUUUUUAGCCCAAUCCUAUUCUCAACUUAAUCCUAGUACCAACUAUACUAAUUAUUUACCUCUUCUAACCUGAUUUCAUCAAUUUAUGGUCUUUCUAAGAUAAUAGAAGAGUCUCUACAAUCUAGAAGGUAAAAUUAUUAACUAACCUUGAACCUACUAAUUAUUAAGAUAAGAAAAUAACCUAAGAGAUUUUUUAUAAAAGCCAUGUUUAGAUACCUCAAAUUAUAAUUGAACUGAAAUAAUUAGAUAUUAAUUAGAAAUUCAAUUUUGAUUAUAAUUUCACUAUAUAGUCAUAUUAUCUUACAAUACUGUUCCUUGUAUUCAAGUAAUUUUUUAAAAUUUCAAAAAAAGAAUAAUUGAUAAGGUUUAAGGACCUACUUGGUUGCAAGAAAUUAAUGUUUUUUUCCUUUCUUCUUAUGCUCCUUCUUCUCAAACCACAAUCUACAUUAGCAAAAUAAAUUUGAAACUAAAUAAAUAUAUUCAACUUGGAUUAUGAUUUGAACUUGUUGGUCAUUUUUAUUUUUAUUUUUUUCCCUUAUUCUAAAUUCCUUCUAUCUAAUCUUACUAUGUAUUUCUUCUUGAAUCUCUUCUUCUUUUGUUGAUGAAGAAUUUUCUUGAAUUCUUCUUAAGCUCCCUAUAUACUACUCAUAUAAAUAGAAGGGAUGGUAGGAGGGGUGGAGGGAGUGAUUAAAUCUCCCUAUCACUAGAAAAAAGCCUUCAACUAGAAAAUUUACAAGGAGAUGGAGUGAUGAAACCUUCAAGACGAGCUCCACUCUUGAUGCUUUGGAAGUGACAACCAAUCCUAAGAAAACCACCACAUGAUGCUUACACUAACACUGAACUAAUCCAAUGUUACUUAAGGUUAGGAAUAAUAAAUUAUUUAUUUUAAGGUUAGGAAUAAUAAAUUAUUUAUUUUAAGGUUAGGAAUAAUAAAUUAAUAAUAUUAUUAUUAUUUAUUAUUAAAAUUUUAUGAUUUAUUUAUUUUAUUUAUU
rnacentral:lncRNA from 1 species